rnacentral:rRNA from 1 species
CCUACGGGAGGCAGCAGUGGGGAAUAUUGGGCAAUGGAGGAAACUCUGACCCAGCGACGCCGCGUGCGGGAUGAAGGCCUUCGGGUUGUAAACCGCUUUCAGCAGGGAAGAAGCGAAAGUGACGGUACCUGCAGAAGAAGCACCGGCUAACUAUGUGCCAGCAGCCGCGGUAAUACAUAGGGUGCAAGCGUUGUCCGGAAUUAUUGGGCGUAAAGAGCUCGUAGGUGGUUCGUCACGUCGGAUGUGAAAAUCUGGGGCUUAACCCCAGACCUGCAUUCGAUACGGGCGAGCUUGAGUAUGGUAGGGGAGUCUGGAAUUCCUGGUGUAGCGGUGGAAUGCGCAGAUAUCAGGAGGAACACCAAUGGCGAAGGCAGGACUCUGGGCCAUUACUGACACUGAGGAGCGAAAGCGUGGGGAGCGAACAGGAUUAGAUACCCUGGUAGUCCACGCCGUAAACGGUGGGCACUAGUUGUGGGGACCUUCCACGGUCUCUGCGACGCAGCUAACGCAUUAAGUGCCCCGCCUGGGGAGUACGAUCGCAAGAUUAAAACUUAAAUGAAUUGACGG